rfam:Salmo salar isolate Sally breed double haploid chromosome ssa06, whole genome shotgun sequence.
UCCACUCACUACUGUAAGUUGCUCUUGAUAAGAGCAUCUGCAAAAUACCUAAAA